rnacentral:rRNA from 1 species
GUCGAGCGGUAACAGGUCCAGCUUGCUGGAUGCUGACGAGCGGCGGACGGGUGAGUAACGCAUAGGAAUCUACCCGGUAGUGGGGGAUAACCUGGGGAAACCCAGGCUAAUACCGCAUACGUCCUACGGGAGAAAGGGGGCUUAGGCUCCCGCUAUUGGAUGAGCCUAUGCCGGAUUAGCUGGUUGGUGAGGUAAUGGCUCACCAAGGCGACGAUCCGUAGCUGGUCUGAGAGGAUGAUCAGCCACAUCGGGACUGAGACACGGCCCGAACUCCUACGGGAGGCAGCAGUGGGGAAUAUUGGACAAUGGGGGCAACCCUGAUCCAGCCAUGCCGCGUGUGUGAAGAAGGCCCUCGGGUUGUAAAGCACUUUCAGCGAGGAAGAACGCCUGUCGGUUAAUACCCGGCAGGAAAGACAUCACUCGCAGAAGAAGCACCGGCUAACUCCGUGCCAGCAGCCGCGGUAAUACGGAGGGUGCAAGCGUUAAUCGGAAUUACUGGGCGUAAAGCGCGCGUAGGUGGCUUGAUAAGCCGGUUGUGAAAGCCCCGGGCUCAACCUGGGAACGGCAUCCGGAACUAUUAGGCUAGAGUGCAGGAGAGGAAGGUAGAAUUCCCGGUGUAGCGGUGAAAUGCGUAGAGAUCGGGAGGAAUACCAGUGGCGAAGGCGGCCUUCUGGACUGACACUGACACUGAGGUGCGAAAGCGUGGGUAGCAAACAGGAUUAGAUACCCUGGUAGUCCACGCCGUAAACGAUGUCGACCAGCCGUUUGUGUGCCUAGCGCACUUUGUGGCGAAGUUAACG